AUUUGUGUAUGUGCUCAGGCUGUCCCACAGGGUUCUUCACUAAAUGCUUUCAGCUUGGCUACUCUGUCCUUAACCCCUUAAGACCGCAGGGCGUUCUAUGCCGUCCUUAUUUAGAUGGUUCUAAACGCCGCAGGGCUGCAUAGAACUCCCUGCGAUCUUUUGUACUUACCCGUAUUAUUUUGUUUUGAUCACAACUUGUACAUUUGGCUGUGGUCUU